CCACCAAGUUGUGAUCAGAGCCAUUCCUUUCAAGAAGUGAUCAUAUGAUGCAUAUAUGUGGCCGUUCGAUUAUGUUUUCCGAUCAAGAUCAAGAUAAAGCUCAGUUUGUUUGCAUUUUCUAUGUUAUAUUACUUUGUAUUUGUACCUAUAUGAGCACAUAUAAUAAUAGUAUUAUGUUUCCUACCAAGGGCCUUCUUCUACCUUCUUCCUUCUUUUUUAUUUGUGGAAGGGAAGAGGUGGGUGACGAGUGCUGGGCCCAUGUUAAGUAGGUGGGCUGUAUGUAUUCAUAUGAUAAUGUUUAUGUGAAUAGUUCUGAAUUGUGAAAUGUUAUUUUCUUGUCAGCCGACCGAAAACCUACUCUCUUACCUCAUGCUCUAAAAUUAUAUUAAUCGACCAUUGCCAAUUUGUAAUUUUCUUUUCUCCCUCAUCUGGUAUGAGUUGGGAUUAGGUGGCCUUUGGUGAUAAGGUCUUGCUUCCUUCCAUUGUGUCCUUUUCCUACCUAAUUUCUAGCCUCGAGGUAAACCUCUUUUAUUCAACUAAUAUUAAUGAAAUCACUAUCUUUAAGCACCAAUGUAAUUAUAAGAUUUAUUAUACUCGCAAAGAAGAAAUAGUCACAAAUUCUAAAAAAAUUUAUUGAUAGUAAAAUCGAGAUAGAGGAUAUCCUUAUCUACUGAAAAAAAAAAAUCACUAUUGUUUAAGUGCCAGCAAUAACAUAAUGUAAGGCACUCAUAUUAAUUGAUAGUGCGAGCUUUGUCUCGUUGUCAAGUAAGGAUUUUCCUUUUUUCAUUGCUUACAGAACCAGAGGAGCACGUAAGUGGUCGUCCUUGGCCCUCGAUCAUAGGGGACGACAUCCUUUCCUUGUCGGAUGAAAGUCCCUUUCCUUUUUUCGGUUAGGAUGUAUAUAGAUUUUGUUCGGGUGUUAGUUUUUUUGUUUUAGAUUUGUGUUCUCUGUCGAUUUUUUGUACAUUUGGUCUGUGCUUGCUUGUUUUGGUGGAUUCUGUGCUUCAGUGAGAGGACUCCUGCUAAUCUACUAGCUUUCUUUCUGUUUCAUCCAGUUCAGCUUGAAGCCUUGGCCUAGUUUUCCUUGGCAAGGUUUAUGUUUCGGUAAGGUUGCUUGGUUGUUGUUAUUUGGAUUGCGGUCCUCCAGCGCAACUAUGGAGCUAUUGUGCUUUCUGGAGUCCUUGUGAAUGGUGGAGCGUAGUCUCCUCCAUCUUCGAGCUUUCGGUAGGAGGGUGCAAGAUCCUUUAGGCCGUGAGGCCGGGCACCUCCGAGGUUGCAAAGUUGGUAUCUUCACAUUUGACCUUCAUGACUCUCUUGCCAUUUGGAGCUCUGCCAAGCGGCCCUACCUACCUCUCUCCUUCGAUCCGACGAUGCUUCAUCUUCAUUAGUCCUCUAUGGUCCGCUUUGGAGAUGUGGUUUGGCUCUGUGUUGUUUGCAGUGUUGAGUUGAAAUUGAGCUUGCUUCCUCUUUCUAUUGUUCAUGGUUGUUGAUGAGCGGUGACUGCGUAGCUCUCCUCCUUCAACUAUAACGAUUAGGCCUAGGGUUUGAGUUUGUAUUUUGUUAUUUAUUGGGUUUCUCCCUGUGAGGGUUUUGUUUAAUUAGACUGAUGUCUAGUAUGGGCCAGAUUUUUUUGUACUCAAUUUGC
rnacentral:misc_RNA from 1 species